CAAAGAUUAAGCCAUGCAAGUGAAAGUAUAUGCAUAUUUUAUAUGUAGAAACUGCGAACGGCUCAUUAAAACAGUUAUAAUCUACUUGACAUUUUUUCUAUAAGGAUAACUACGGAAAAGCUGUAGCUAAUACUUGCCUUAGCACUCUUGAUUCAUUUCUUGAGUGUGUACUUGUUAAGCCUUUUAAGAAAAAAGUUAUUAACUUAAGGAAUUAUAACAAAGAAGCGACACGUAAUGGAUCCGUCCAUUUUUAGUGUGUAUCAAUCGAGUUUCUGACCUAUCAGCUUUUGAUGUUAGGGUAUUGGCCUAACAUGGCUAUGACGGGUAACGGGGAAUUAGAGUUCGAUUCCGGAGAGGGAGCCUGAGAAAUAGCUACCACAUCUAAGGAAGGCAGCAGGCGCGUAAAUUACCCAAUUCUAAAGAAGAGAGGUAGUGACAAGAAAUAACAAUACAAGGCCAAUCUGGCUUUGUAAUUGGAAUGAUGGGAAUUUAAAACCUUCCCAAAACUCAAUUGGAGGGCAAGUCUGGUGCCAGCAGCCGCGGUAAUUCCAGCUCCAAUAGCGUAUAUUAAAAUUGUUGCAGUUAAAACGCUCGUAGUUGAAUUUCAAAGAAUCGAUAUUUUAAGCAACGCUUCUAGCUUAAUCCACAUAACUGAUACUUCGUAUCGACUUUGUGCGCAUUUUGCUAUUAUGUGUUCUUUUAAUUAAAAUGAUUCUUUUUAAGGACUUUCUUUGCUUCGGCUUGGAAGUCCUUGUUACUUUGAGUAAAUUAGAGUGUUCAAAGCAAACAGAUAUAGCAUUGCGCGUUUGAAUACUACAGCAUGGAAUAACAAAUUGAACAAGUCAGAAUUUUUGUUCUUUUUUCUUAUUUUGGCUUAGUUACGAUUAAUAGGAGUAGCUUGGGGGCAUUUGUAUUCAGAUGUCAGAGGUGAAAUUCUUAGAUUUUCUGGAGACAAACAACUGCGAAAGCAUUUGCCUAAAAUACUUCCAUUAAUCAAGAACGAAAGUUAAGGGAGUGAAGACGAUCAGAUACCGUCGUAAUCUUAACCAUAAACUAUGCCGACUAGGCUUUGGAUGAAAGAUUUUAAAAUAAGAAUUUUCUCUUCGGAGUUUAUUCUUAGAUUGCUUCCUUCAGUGCCUUAUGAGAAAUCAAAGUCUUUGGGUUCUGGGGCGAGUAUUCGCGCAAGCGAGAAAGUUAAAAGAAUUGACGGAAGGGCACCACCAGGCGUGGAGCUUGCGGCUUAAUUUGACUCAACACGGGAAAACUCACUAGUUUAAGACAAGAGUAGGAUUGACAGAUUAAUAGCUCUUUCUUGAUUUCUUGGAUGGUGAUGCAUGGCCGUUUUUAGUUCGUGAAUAUGAUUUGUCUGGUUAAUUCCGAUAACGAACGAGAUCUUAACCUGCUAAUUAGCGGCAAAUACGACAUAUUCUUACGUGGGACUGAAUUCGGUUGAUUUGCUUACUUUGAAGAAAAUAUUGGGAUACGUAACAGUUUCCCUUUCCCUUUUCUACUUAGUUCGCUUUUCAUACUGUUUCUUUUUCGCGUAAGAAUGUAUUUGCUUGAUUGUAAAGCUUCUUAGAGGAACGAUGUGUGUCUAAC
rnacentral:rRNA from 1 species